AACGCACGAGACCUGCGGACCUGCGGAAGGAUCAUUACCGAAUGGCCUCUGGGCCUUCACAAACCCCAUCAAACCUGUGGACCUCUCAGAGAGAGCGUGCUUCGGCGUCCCCUCGGCUCUGCCCGAGGGACGCCGCCUUCAUGCAGAUAGAUCGUCUUGUCUGAUUUUGAAACCAUGAGAAUUUAAAACUUUCAACAACGGAUCUCU
rnacentral:misc_RNA from 1 species